rnacentral:misc_RNA from 1 species
UACCAAUUAAAAUGUUGCAGACUUGCAGCAUUCCAAGACCGGGAACUGAAUUAACCUCUUUAUACAAUUCAAGCCAAAUACAACCUCAACAUCUAAUCAUUGUUCUUUCUACAGGGACGCAAAAUAGCAGCAUCCAAAUUGUUCGUUUCUUAAGCUACAGCCAGGGAACUUUUUCUUUUUGCAUAAAAUAGUGUGAAGAGAAUGUCAAGUGAUGACACCAACAAUGACAACAAAAGAAUAUACGUAUCAAGUGUUCUCAGAUCCAGAAUUGCACAUUGGUCAACAUUUGUUGAGCUUUUUCUGCCCUGUAAGUCUCUUAUGAGCUGAAAUUAGUUGAAUAAAAGCUUUAGGAAUUUAAAUAGGUUGGAAUUGAGGGCAUAGGAUAACGGGAAAACUUGCAACUUCAUUCUUAAGGAACAG